GAUGAAGAACGCAGCGAAAUGCGAUAAGUAAUGUGAAUUGCAGAAUCCAGUGAAUCAUCGAAUCUUUGAACGCACAUUGCGCCCGCCAGCAUUCUGGCGGGCAUGCCUGUUCGAGCGUCAUUUCAACCCUCGACCUCCCCUUGGGGAGGCCGGCGUUGGGGACCGGCAGCACACCGCCGGCCCUGAAAUGGAGUGGCGGCCCGUCCGCGGCGACCUCUGCGUAGUAAUACAGCUCGCACCGGAACCCCGACGCGGCCACGCCGUAAAACACCCAACUUCUGAACGUUGACCUCGAAUCAGGUAGGACUACCCGCUGAACUUAAGCAUAUCAAUAAGCGGAGGA
rnacentral:misc_RNA from 1 species